rnacentral:misc_RNA from 1 species
GAUGAAGAACGUAGCGAAAUGCGAUACGUAAUGUGAAUUGCAGAAUUCAGUGAAUCAUCGAAUCUUUGAACGCACAUUGCGCCUGCCAGCACUCUGGCAGGCAUGCCUGUUCGAGCGUCAUUUCAACCAUCAAGCCCUAGGCUUGCGUUGGAGCCCUGCGGCUGCCGCAGGCCCCUAAAAGCAGUGGCGGGCUCGCUAUCACACCGAGUGCAGUAGAUUACUCUUCGCUCAGGGCGUGUCGCGGGUUCCAGCCGUGAAACCCCCUACUUCUCAAGGUUGACCUCGGAUCAGGUAGGAAUACCCGCUGAACUUAAGCAUAUCAAUAAGCGGAGGA